rnacentral:rRNA from 1 species
GACGAACACUGGCGGCGUGCUUAACACAUGCAAGUCGAACGGAAAGGCCCUGCUUGCCGGGUACUCGAGUGGCGAACGGGUGAGUAACACGUGGGUGAUCUGCCCUGCACUUCGGGAUAAGCCUGGGAAACUGGGUCUAAUACCGGAUAGGAGCCAUUUUUAGUGUGAUGGUUGGAAAGUUUUUUCGGUGUAGGAUGAGCUCGCGGCCUAUCAGCUUGUUGGUGGGGUAAUGGCCUACCAAGGCGGCGACGGGUAGCCGGCCUGAGAGGGUGGACGGCCACAUUGGGACUGAGAUACGGCCCAGACUCCUACGGGAGGCAGCAGUGGGGAAGAUUGCACAAUGGGCGCAAGCCUGAUGCAGCGACGCCGCGUGGGGGAUGACGGCCUUCGGGUUGUAAACUCAUUUCGCUAGGGACGAAGCUUUUUGUGACGGUACCUAGAUAAGAAGCACCGGCUAACUACGUG